GCCUCCGUAGUUCAACGGUUAGAACGAGGGACUCAUAACCCCUAAAAGGUAGUUCGACUCUACCCGGAGGCA
rnacentral:tRNA from 1 species